GAAAAUGCCAGACAAUAUAUUUUGAUAUAAAUUUUGUAUUAUACAUCAAUGUAUCUUGAUGUAAACAAAGCACUUAAUAAGCUGUAAAGACUUAAUAAGAAAAAAUAGAGUUAUCUCCUCCACACAUAAGGAUUUGAAGACAAAAAACAGAUUCCAGCUUUUAGAGGGUAAAGCAUCAAAGCUAGGAUUAAAAUUUAAGACCUCAAUGUUCAGACUUCAUCUCUUCCAAGGCACAGAAUACAUCCAAAACUUCUGUUUAAAGUCAUUUCACAUGUUAACAAUAUACAGCUUGACAAGUGGUAUUAUUUGACAUAUCAGCUUCUUUAAAAAGCCUUACCAAGUUAAUAAAAAGUCAGACAUGGCUUUGAGUGAAUAGUCAUAUUUUUGUUUACACUCCUACUCACUAGGAAAAAGAAGUGAUUUCUUAGCAGCCCAAGGAGAAAGACAUUGACAUUUAUAAUGCUAGUUCCUAUAUGAGUCUCAGAAGCAGCUACUGUAGCAUAUUGUCCUUAGCAGGAUUUUGCAUAUAAUCCUGCAGGAUUCCAUAUGGAAACACAGGACUCCCUGAUCUACUAUUGUGAGGUACCUUCUAUCAAAUAAAAUUCAGUAGUUAUGAAGAAAUUACGCAGAAAGUUGCACAAAGGUUAUUCUGUCAUAUUCAUGCCAAGUUGCUCUUCACUUCUUAAGUCACUCUUUCUUUCUCCUCUCCUCAAAUGUAGUAAAUUUGUUCAAAAACAGAAUUGCUGUGAGGGUCUAUUACUGAGCACACAGGUCAUGUACAUUAUUUCCCUACCACAAUGAGAAUAGGAAUUUCAUAUUUCAAAAGCCAUGCACCAGGAGGCUCUGCCUGCCUGGUAACACAAAAUCACUUCAACUCCCACAUGCAUUUAAUCUUCAUAGCAGCAUCACAAAAAUCUUGUUGCCAUUAAUCAUAAAGGGUUUUUUUAGAUGUACAUUUAUUUAAAGAAAAUACACUGCCAUCCAUCUCUUUUGAGGAUGCAAUCUGUAUUCAGCUUUCCAGUUAAAAUAAUCCUUUUGCUUUCACAUGCAUCAGUUUUAAUCUCCCUCCAAACACCCUUUUAGAGCACUUCAGCCUAUUUUAUGUUUCCUAUGUUACAUGUCAGUGUCCCAAGAAACACAUAUUUCACACAGAAAACACUAUCCUCACUUCUAUUUUCCCUAUCCUUUGAUUUUCAUGUGACAUCUUAUCCCAGAUUAUAAAUUUCAAAAGCCCUUUGGUUUAUGGAAAUUUCUUUCAAUAUAACAGUUCCAUGGCAAUUUUAAGUUAUUAGUUCUCCCUUUCUGUAUUUUGUUGCUUUCUUGAUUGUGUUGUUUUAAGCACAAGAGCUUUUUGAACUUUUCAGCUUUAAUUAUGUUUGCCGUCAAAAUGUUACCUAUAAAAUAUUUGCCUUGCAGGCAAUGCUCUGCUUAUCAAACCGCAAUCAUAAAAACAAAAUAAGAACAUUUACUGAGUGCAUGAAAAGAAUACACUCAAAAUCCCUAUUUUGAAAGCUGGAUUCAGUCCUUUAAAAAUUUAAACAAAGGUAAAUGCAAUAAAAAUGUGCUGCCCUCGAUAGGAAGGAAGAAGGCGUGGUACAAGUUGACAUAAUUGUCAAGUGUGCUGUCAGAAAAGGGAAAGUACAUGUUAGUGCUAGACACUGAAUGCAUUCUUUUACCCUCAGAAAUGUUUGGAUUUCUGUAAGUUUCCCCUUUCUGUAUUAAGAUGAAAAGUGAAUCAACAGAAUACAUGAAACACAUAAAGGAAAGGAGAUCUAACUAGGCAUUCAUCAGGAUGUCAGUGACCCAAGUUCCCCAAACUAUUGCUGCAGACAAGAAAAAUUAAGGAGCUCUGAUUGUCUAAAAACACAUUCAUUCCUGUUUUGUCCCUCUCAGACCUACAAAAACCUCCUGUCAAAAAGUAUGUCUGCCUUUUCUAAUUAAAAAAAAUUAGCCAAAUAUGUCUCCCAGACAGAUCUAACCCACACAUUUCCAGUAUACUGGAAGCAGUCAAAGGCAACAUGUCGGUAUUUCACUCCAGAUUGGGUUAAACAAUAAUCUGCUGCUCCCAGCCCUUCUUCUUUGGUGGCUCAAGCAUAACACAUUCUACAGCAUCACAGGGAAGAAGAGAUUACCUAAGUUUCCAGCAUAAAAGCCUCACACAUCAAUAAGCCCAACACAGCCAGAUGAAGCAGAAAAUAGAAAUUUGCAUUCUUUUGCAAAAAAAAAAAGGCUACUUGGAAUGUCACACACUCUGGCACAAAACAUACAAUGCCUUAUUGAUGGAGGGGGUUGAGUAAAAGGAGACAUCACAAGACAAUUACAACCCUCCCCCCUCUCUCUCUCUGUCUCUCUCUCUCCCCCUUUGUAAAGAAAUACUUGCUACUUAAAAAUGUGGGUGUGGUCAAAACAGACUGGCUGCCUUUACUGGAUGGAAAGCAGCAUCAAUUAGAAUGAGGUCCUCCUUCUGAAUUUCUUAGAUUCUCCAGAAGCUGAUAUUCCUGGGAGAUUACACAUGACCAAAGAUCAUUAGUUAUGAAAUAUGAACAUGAAUACCUUGAGUUUUGGAGAACUAAAACAUGUUGGCGAAAAAGCUAACAUGAUACACCACCUCAUUUUUCUCCUGUCAUAAUUUGGGGACUGGAAAGAUAGCAGGAUAAAAAAAAAUUACCCCUGAAGACUACAGAUUGAGAAGGAAAAUCAUGCAAUAAGAAUCCAGGGGCAAGGCUCCAUCUCAGGUGAAACUAAAGUUUCUGCAACUAGCUGUUGCAGCAGAAAAAUGCACAAAAAUGGUCGUUCUAUUCCUGGAAAACAGUUUAUGUAAAGACACCAGUCAGCUUCUAGAGAUAGACCAGGGAGUCUCUUUAGGCAUUCAUCAGCUCCAAGAGUUAAAAUGAAGCAUGAAACUUGAUAACAGAUGGACCUGUUCUAGAAAUUUCCUUGGCAAUAGGCUAGAAGUGGGGAAAGGAAACAAUUUCCUCCCCACCUUCUCCAUGUAGAAGGUGAGAGGCUAAUUUCAUUUGCAACAUCAGCUUUUCAGUCUUCAAAAGGGUAUGCUACAAGUUACAUGCAAUUAUGCCUGCUGAUAGAUCCACAAUUCCUAAGGAAGACCAGAUAUGCUUCCCAACUAAGAGGAAUCACUACUUGUGUGGCAUUUCUUAGUAGCAGAGACUUAAGCUUUCAGGCUCACAGGGGUGACUAUGGCAGGAAACUUUACCAGCAUGAAAGUUAUGUGGAUAGAGGUACCACCUGAGUUCUUAGGGACACACAUUCUAAGGUCAACAAAAAAAAACUAUAAUCCUGGCAGCGCCAGAGAGAUCCCUAACAGCCUUUGUGCAGAAAAUGAGUAAAUGCCUACUAGAUGGUGUUUGCUGGAAGACACUGAAGAAGAGUGCAAGCACACCAAGGGAAAAAUUAAUCUAGACAAUCAGUCAUAUAACAGUUCUUUAUAACUCAUCUUCUCCAGUCUUACAGCUGGCUCAUAACAAUGAGACAAUGUCCCAUAAUAUUUUCCCCAUGUCUUACACUGUAAGGUUACUAAACAGCCAGCUCAGAUGAUACUGUCUUUCUCCUUCUCUGUCCCUCACUUCCAGAAGGGUACUAAGAACAAGAAGAUGAGGAAUAGGAGUUAACUAAAAGACAGAGAAAAACACAUUCAGCUCACAGAAAGGUCCUGAAACAACAGGUAGCCUGCAUUAGGAAAGUCUUAGCAAAGGCUGAGCCAAACCAUACAAGUUCCAGGUUCCAAGUAACUUGAAAUUAGUAUACAACAUGAAAUUACAUGGAGAUGAGAAAACAGCCAAAAAGUUAUAUUGCACUAUUGCCCUGGUUCACAAGCUUCAGUUUCCCCUGCAGCAAGUUGUGUAAAUACCAGAGGUACUGGAUAUUUGAACUGCUUCACUUUCAAACACUUUGCCUUGUUUGGCUUGGCAAAAGAGUAACUGCUGUUAAAGGUGCUGUUUCACUGGCUAGCACACAGCAUGAACAUGAGCAUAAUGUGCAGCAGCAGACAAUAAGCUGAGCAGGGUCUCAAAGACAAAGAGCACCCCAUACACUACUGUACAACCUGUCACUGAAAAGCCUUGAACGGGACAAAACCAGGACUUCACCUGACAGCAAUUACAUGAUUUGAACAAGUUUUUGCAGAAGGAUUCUCCUCCCAAUUACACUGCAGCACAGAACAGUAAGUAGGAUGUGAACUUGUGAACAACCUAGUCCUUUAAAGUUAUUUCCAGACACUGCCAAGCAUUUUUAGGCUCUGCUGAGCCUUGUUUCCAGCUAGAAAAUUUGGCAAGAAUGUUUCAGGACUUCCUAAUUACUGCCUUCCCUUAGAUGUAAGCGAAUUGCUGUCUCCAUUGCUGCUAUUUUAGUUAUAAACAGACAGCUCUGUAACACUCCGUGGUUCUCGUAUACUGAAAGGCAUGUGAUUUAAUCCAUGUAGCUGCACUGCUCUCCAGAAUAGCCUGUCUUUGCGCUUGGCUCCUUCCCUGCUCCAAUUACAAGCUGCCUGCUAACCCCUGCAGGACAAGAAAACCUGACCAAUUACCUCCUAUUUGCUGUAAGAGCUGGAGAAAAGAAAGCAGCUGCAGUCAAGAAACUGAAACACAGCCAGGCAUCAACUGCAGCACAAGGUCACCAAAGAAAAGCACACUAAACCAUAUGGCAAUUUGGAAGUGGCAAAUUAUUCAUCCCAGAAGGUGCCUGACACCUCAACAUUACAGGAACAAUUCACCCUUUGAAUACUGUACUGUACUGAAUACUGACUGCUGUAGGGUGUAUGAUUGCCGUGAUACUUCAGUUAUAAAGGCAUUUAGUAGUCCUGCAAUAUUUGGUAAUACCAUUAUACUUUUGGACAUGGUAUUAGAAGAUGCUAAGAAGAUGCAUGGCAUUAGAAAAGUAUGCAUUUUGACAGGCUAAUUAGAAAAUUAGAAAUGGUAUCAACUGCUGUGAUGGGAAUUCUGACUUUAUUUCUGAUAAAAAAUAAACCUUCAGCCUUGUUUCCACCUUGUUUCAACCUUGUUCCUAAACACUAUCAAACCAUAGCAGGCUGUUCCACACACUAGUAAUACAGUAAAUAAAAAGACAGGU